rnacentral:rRNA from 1 species
UACGUAGGGUGCAAGCGUUGUCCGGAAUCAUUGGGCGUAAAGCGCGCGUAGGCGGCCCGAUAAGUCCGCUGUAAAAGUCAACGGCUCAACUGUUGAAAGCCGGUGGAUACUGUCGGGCUAGAGUACGGAAGAGGCAAGUGGAAUUCCUGGUGUAGCGGUGAAAUGCGUAGAUAUCAAGAGGAACACCUGAGGUGAAGACGGGUUGCUGGGCCAACACUGACGCUGAGGCGCGAAAGCCAGGGGAGCAAACGGG